rnacentral:rRNA from 1 species
UACGUAGGGUGCAAGCGUUGUCCGGAAUUAUUGGGCGUAAAGAGCUCGUAGGCGGUUUGUCGCGUCUGCUGUGAAAACCCGAGGCUCAACCUCGGGCCUGCAGUGGGUACGGGCAGACUAGAGUGCGGUAGGGGGAGAUUGGAAUUCCUGGUGUAGCGGUGGAAUGCGCAGAUAUCAGGAGGAACACCGAUGGCGAAGGCAGAUCUCUGGGCCGUAACUGACGCUGAGGAGCGAAAAGCAUGGGGGAGCGAACAGG